CCGGGAUGAAGUUCGGGUCGUAAAGCUGUUGUAUGGGAAGAACAGCUAGAAUAGGAAAUGAUUUUAGUUUGACGGUACCACCAGAAAGGGACGGCUAAAUACGUGCCAGCAGCCGCGGUAAUACGUAUGUCCCGAGCGUUAUCCGGAUUUAUUGGGCGUAAAGCGAGCGCAGACGGUUUAUUAAGUCUGAUGUGAAAGCCCGGAGCUCAACUCCGGAAUGGCAUUGGAAACUGGUUAACUUGAGUGCAGUAGAGGUAAGUGGAACUCCAUGUGUAGCGGUGGAAUGCGUAGAUAUAUGGAAGAACACCAGUGGCGAAGGCGGCUUACUGGACUGCAACUGACGUUGAGGCUCGAAAGUGUGGGUAGCAAACAGGAUUAGAUACCCUGGUAGUCCACACCGUAAACGAUGAACACUAGGUGUUAGGAGGUUUCCGCCUCUUAGUGCCGAAGCUAACGCAUUAAGUGUUCCGCCUGGGGAGUACGACCGCAAGGUUGAAACUCAAAGGAAUUGACGGGGACCCGCACAAGCGGUGGAGCAUGUGGUUUAAUUCGAAGCAACGCGAAGAACCUUACCAGGUCUUGACAUCCUUUGAAGCUUUUAGAGAUAGAAGUGUUCUCUUCGGAGACAAAGUGACAGGUGGUGCAUGGUCGUCGUCAGCUCGUGUCGUGAGAUGUUGGGUUAAGUCCCGCAACGAGCGCAACCCUUAUUGUUAGUUGCCAGCAUUCAGAUGGGCACUCUAGCGAGACUGCCGGUGACAAACCGGAGGAAGGCGGGGACGACGUCAGAUCAUCAUGCCCCUUAUGACCUGGGCUACACACGUGCUACAAUGGCGUAUACAACGAGUUGCCAGCCCGCGAGGGUGAGCUAAUCUCUUAAAGUACGUCUCAGUUCGGAUUGUAGUCUGCAACUCGACUACAUGAAGUCGGAAUCGCUAGUAAUCGCGGAUCAGCACGCCGCGGUGAAUACGUUCCCGGGUCUUGUACACACCGCCCGUCACACCAUGGGAGUUUGUAAUGCCCAAAGCCGGUGGCCUAACCUUUUAGGAAGGAGCCGUCUAAGGCAGGACAGAUGACUGGGAAGCG
rnacentral:rRNA from 1 species